rnacentral:rRNA from 1 species
UACAGAGGGGGCAAGCGUUAUUCGGAAUUAUUGGGCGUAAAGGGCUCGUAGGCGGUUUGUCGCGUCGGGAGUGAAAACACUGGGCUUAACUCAGUGCUUGCUUUCGAUACGGGCAGACUAGAGGUAUUCAGGGGAGAACGGAAUUCCAGGUGUAGCGGUGAAAUGCGUAGAUAUCUGGAGGAACACCGGUGGCGAAGGCGGCAUCCUGGACCGGCAUUGACGCUGAGGCGCGAAAGCCAGGGGAGCAAACGGG